UACGUAGGGCGCAAGCGUUGUCCGGAAUUAUUGGGCGUAAAGAGCUCGUAGGCGGUUUGUCGCGUCUGCUGUGAAAACCUAAGGCUCAACCUUGGGCUUGCAGUGGGUACGGGGCAGACUAGAGUGCGGUAGGGGUGACUGGAAUUCCUGGUGUAGCGGUGAAAUGCGCAGGUAUCAGGAGGAACACCGGUGGCGAAGGCGGGUCUCUGGGCCGAUACUGACGCUGAGGAGCGAAAGCAUGGGUAGCGAACAGG
rnacentral:rRNA from 1 species